AUUGAACGCUGGCGGCAUGCCUUACACAUGCAAGUCGAACGGUAACGCGGGGGCAACCCUGGCGACGAGUGGCGAACGGGUGAGUAAUACAUCGGAACGUACCCAGUAGUGGGGGAGUAGCUCGGCGAAAGCCGGAUUAAUACCGCACACGACCUAUGGGUGAAAGCGGGGGAGUCGCAAGACCUCGCGCUAUUGGAGCGGCCGAUGUCGGAUUAGCUAGUUGGUGAGGUAAAGGCNCACCAAGGCUACGAUCCGUAGCUGGUCUGAGAGGACGACCAGCCACACUGGGACUGAGACACGGCCCAGACUCCUACGGGAGGGCAGCAGUGGGGAAUUUUUGGACAAUGGGCGAAAGCCUGAUCCAGCCAUGCCGCGUGUGUGAAGAAGGCCUCGGUUGU
rnacentral:rRNA from 1 species